rnacentral:tRNA from 1 species
AGGGAAAUAGCUCAGUGGUAGAGCACAUGCUUAGCAUGCAUGAGGCCCUGGGUUCAAUCCUCAGUACCUCCA